UACGGAGGAUGCAAGCGUUGUUCGGAAUUACUGGGCGUAAAGCGCGUGUAGGCGGCCAACCAAGUCUGAUGUGAAAGCCCUGGGCUUAACCUGGGAAGUGCAUUGGAAACUGGCUGGCUUGAGUACUGGAGAGGAAGGGGGAAUUCCCGGUGUAGAGGUGAAAUUCGUAGAUAUUCGCAAGAACACCAGUGGCGAAGGCGGCUUCCUGGACCAAUACUGACGCUGAGGCGCGAAGGCGUGGGGAGCAAACAGG
rnacentral:rRNA from 1 species